rnacentral:misc_RNA from 1 species
UUUCCGUAGGUGAACCUGCGGAAGGAUCAUUACCGAAUUGUCAAACGGGUUGUUGCUGGUCUCCAAACGGGGACAUGUGCACGCUCUGUUUACACAUCCACUCACACCUGUGCACCCUCCGUAGUUCUAUGGUCUGGGGGACCCUGUCUUCCUGCCGUGGUUCUACGUCUUUACACACACUCUGUAAUAAAGUCUUAUGGAAUGUAUGCCGCGUCUAACGCAAUACAAUACAACUUUCAGCAACGGAUCUCUUGGCUCUC